GAUGAACGCUGGCGGCGUGCCUAAUACAUGCAAGUCGAGCGAACGGACGAGAAGCUUGCUUCUCUGAUGUUAGCGGCGGACGGGUGAGUAACACGUGGAUAACCUACCUAUAAGACUGGGAUAACUUCGGGAAACCGUAGCUAAUACCGGAUAAUAUUUUGAACCGCAUGGUUCAAAAGUGAAAGACGGUCUUGCUGUCACUUAUAGAUGGAUCCGCGCUGCAUUAGCUAGUUGGUAAGGUAACGGCUUACCAAGGCAACGAUGCAUAGCCGACCUGAGAGGGUGAUCGGCCACACUGGACCUGAGACACGCUCCAGACUCCUACGGGAGGCAGCAGUAGGUAAUCUUCCGCAAUGGGCGAAAGCCUGACGGAGCAACGCCGCGUGAGUGAUGAAGGUCUUCGGAUCGUAAAACUCUGUUAUUAGGGAAGAACAUAUGUGUAAGUAACUGUGCACAUCUUGACGGUACCUAAUCAGAAAGCCACGGCUAACUACGU
rnacentral:rRNA from 1 species